GGAAGGUUAGCUCAGCUGGGAGAGCGCUCGCUUGACGUGCGAAAGGUCGCAGGUUCGAUCCCUGUACCUUCCA
rnacentral:tRNA from 1 species